UGCGGUUCUGGGUUAUAGAGUUCCCACAGACCCGCAGAGACUCAGAUCCUCCAGACCCCAAGGAUGGGGGUCCCGGCUCUGCAAACCCUCCUCCUGCUGCUCUCUCAGACCCUGGCCUUAACCGAGACCUGGUGAGUUCAAGGUCUAAAGGGAAAUGGCCUCUGUUAGGGGAGGGGCGAGGGCACAGUCCAGCCGGGACACUUGACCCGGGGAAAUCUUGCCUUGGUAGCGGUUGCACGGAGAUCCAGACCCUCCCCACCCGCACMGCUCCUUGUCUUGAUCCUCCCACCUCAUUCCCUGCUGCCUGGUCGCCUUAUCCUUCCGCCCCCUUUUUAGUCCCACGGGCUCCAGCGCCCGCCCUUCCUAUCCGACUAACGUGGGAUCCCCGGGUCCAGUGCCGGGAGGAGCAUCUCAGCUGCUGCCUGUCUUCAGGCUCCCACCACUCCCUUCUUCUCCCACUCCACUUCCCGUGGCUGUGUCCUGGCCCUGCGGCGGGGAGGCCUGGUACAUCUCCAUCCACUACGUGGAUGACUUAAAUAUUUGGCCACUUCGAUAGMGACGUGGUGAAUCCCAGGGCAGAGCCGCGGGUGCCGUGGAUGGAGCAGGUGGGACCUGAGUACUGGGACCGGAACACAUGGAUCGUCAAGCGCAGUGCACAAGCCUUUCUGAGUGAUUCUAAACAACCUGCUCGGCUAGACCAGAGCGACGCAGGUAAGUGACCCGGGCCCAGAGCGAAGGACACGAGACACCCUCAUUCUCCAUGAACGGGUCGGAAUGGCCCAGCUUCACCCUAAGGCUGCGGGACUCGCGGGUCACGUAGACCUGGAGAAAGCCCCAGGGAUUCACUCCAGUUGGGUUUUCGAUUUCGUUGGGAAAAGGCUCUGAUCAAUCACCGCCCCUCAGUGUCACGCGGGGAAAGUCCGUGGGGCCGGACCGACAAGAGUGGCGGUGCCAGGAGCUCAUACCUACCAGACUCUCCGUGGCUGCAUCCUGGGGCGGCACCUGCGCCUCCUCCGCGGGUACUGUCAGGACGCCUACUUUGGUGGAUUACAAUGAGCUGAAAGAGGACYUGCGCUCCUGGACUGCGCGGACACAGCGGCUCAGAUUACCCAGCGCUAAUGGGAGGCAUCCAGUGAGGAUUAUCGCUGUAGGGCCUACCUCUAGGAGGAGUGCGUGGAGUGGUUCCGCAGAUACCUGCAGUACGGAAGAUCACCCUGACCUGGCUGCAGUGGGGAGGACCAGAUGCAAGACAUGGAGCUUGUGGGGACCUGCAGGGGAUGGAAACUUCCAGAAAUGGGCAGCUGUGAAGGUACCUGCUGGAGAGGAGCAGAGAUACACAUGCCAUGUGCACUAUCAUGGGCUGUCUGAGCCCUCACUCUGAGAUGGGGUGGAGAAGGAGGCAGCUACACUCAGGCCGCCUGUUAAGUAUGCAGGGAAUUGAUCUCUGAGACCGUUGGGGACAGUGUAGACAGGAGCCCAUGGGGAAGAUCACCCAACCCCAUAAUUCCUGUUUUAGCCACAACUGUUAUGGGCCCUUUUUGCACUGCCCCAGGCAGUGACAGUUCCCACGCUUCUGAUGUAUUUCUCCUGGCUUGUAAAGGUGAGACCAUGGAGGGCUUGAAGUGGAAGAGGAGGGAGGGCAAGGGAAGACUCCUAGUUUAUGGGGAUUCUCUGGAUUUGUACAUUUUUAGUAUAUGGUGGGCUAUUCAGAGUGUCACCACUUACGGUGAAUGAUAUGAAUUUGGUUUUGAUUUUUUUUUUUUUUUUUUUUUUUUUUUUUUUAGUGUGAGAUAGCUGCCUUGUAUGGGACUGAGAAAUACAAGAUUUGUUCAAGUGCCCCCAACAUUGAGAUUUCGGGAAGCUCCUAAAUUCUCUUUCUGCAACUGGCCCCUAAAAACUUACAUGUCUGUGUCCCAAGGAGUAUAAUGUGAGAAAAUGUGGAUACCAGCCUAUCCCUAAGCAUCUAGUCCCUCUUGUUUGUCCUCUCAUUGUCUAAGUCAGUUUUCCAUUACUGUAAAAAAAAAAAAAAAUACCCAAGAUAAUCACCUUACAAGAGGAAAGGAUUUUUGGCUAAUAGUUUGAGAUUUCAGUCCAUGAUCAAUUGUCCCCAUUGCUUUUAGACCUUUGGCAAAGCAGCAUGUCAUGGUGGCAGCACCUAGCAGAGGAACAAAAGAGAGAAGAAACCAUGGCCACAUGACAUCCUUUGAGGGCACAACCCCAAUAACUGAAACCUCGCACAAGGCUCCACCUCAUAUUUUUCCCACCAUCUUCCAAUAGAACCACAUGCUGGGAACCAGGCUUUAACAUGAACUUUUGAAGGAAAUUUCAGAUCCAAACUAUAAUGUUACCCUUACAAGGUUCAGCCAGCCCUUGCACACAGGAAAUUUGUGACAUCAAGAGAUGAAUUUUCAGAUUUAUACAGCUCUUGCCCUCCUUUUAGAAGUGUUCCUUGUAUUGUACUUCCCAUCCACUUCCUAACCUUCUUAAAUGAACCAGAUUUGGGGAUUAGCAGAAAAGAGGGACUUUAUAAUUUCUCAUCAUAGAUAGAUUCCUGUUAAGUUUUUGUUUUUUCUAAUCACCUGUCCCUUUUCCCUGCCCUUAGUUCUAGUAAUCCUAGUGAUUGCUCCAAUCCAAACUUGUGGAUUUAUAAAGCAGAAUCUAAUUUAGACAUUUAUUGCUUGAAAUAUAGGGCCUAUGAUCCUAGCAUCUUGUUUAGUGAAGAGACAAAUGUACUCAUGUGUUGUGGAGUGCAGGGUGUGGGAAGUAGAGUGGGGGAAGAGAGGGCAGCCCUGACAUCCAGCUGCCAGGAAAACACUGGGCUUCACACAGAUAUUAGAAUAAGCAGACAAUGACAUUAAGACAGUGUUCAUAAAUUUAUUCCAAAUGUUCAUGAGACACAUAAAAGAUCACAAUCAAAAUUCCAAAGAUAAAAGCAUCUGAGAUGUCAAAUGUACAAAAUGUGAGGUGAGAUUCAUGGUAGACUGUACUGAAGAAUAAAAGAUCAAUGACCUUGGAGACA
rnacentral:lncRNA from 1 species